rnacentral:rRNA from 1 species
AGAGUUUGAUCCUGGCUCAGGAUGAACGCUGGCGGCGUGCUUAACACAUGCAAGUCGAAGAGCUGCGCGGACUGAAGUUUUCGGAUGGAUGACUGCGUACGCGAGUGGCGGACGGGUGGUAACGCGUGGGGAACCUGCCCCAUUCCGGGGGAUACCAGUUGGAAACGACUGUUAAUACGCAUAAGCGCACGGUACUGCAUGGUACAGUGUGAAAAACUCCGGUGGAAUGGGAUGGCCCGCGUCUGAUUAGGCAGUUGGCGGGGUAACGGCCCACCAAACCGACGAUCAGUAGCCGCCUGAGAGGGUGACCGGCCACAUUGGGACUGAGACACGGCCCAAACUCCUACGGGAGGCGCAGUGGGGAAUAUUGCACAAUGGGGGAAACCCUGAUGCAGCGACGCCGCGUGAGUGAAAAGUAUUUCGGUAUGUAAAGCUCUAUCAGCAGGGAAGAAGAUGACGGUACCUGCACAAGAGCCCCGGCUAACUACGUGCCAGCAGCCGCGGUAAUACGUAGGGGGCAAGCGUUAUCCGAUUUACUGGGUGUAAAGGGAGCGCAGACGGAAGGCCAAGUCAGGUGUGAAAGGCAUGGGUCAACCCAUGGACUGCACUUGAAACUGGUCAUCUCGAGUAUCGGAGGGGCAGGCGGAAUCCUGGUGUAGCGGUGAAAUGCGUAGAUAUCAGGAAGAACACCGGUGGCGAAGGCGGCCUCUGGACGAUAACUGACGUUGAGGCUCGAAAGCGUGGGGAGCAAACAGGAUUAGAUACCCGGUAGUCCACGCAGUAAACGAUGAAUACUAGUGCUGGGUCCCACAGGGAUUCGGUGCCGCGCUAACGCAUUAAGUAUUCCACCUGGGGAGUACGUUCGCAAGAAUGAAACUCAAAGGAUUGACGGG